AAACUCAGCACCGGCUGCUUCAAAGCAACUGACUGGUCUUGUUGUCUCUCUGACUCCCUGAUAAGUGGUGUAGGUCUCAAGCCUCGGUUCUGAUUUAUACUCCCUUGCUCUGGGUUGCUUCCUUGCAGGUCCGCCGCCUCUCUGACUCCCAGGAGAAGACCACGCAUUAUAACGUUGAAAAGUUGCAGACCGAUGGAGGCCCAGCUAACUUCCUAAUCCUUUCCAGAUGCUGUACUCACCUUGGACCUGGAGAGGCACCACACACCUCGGUCAACCGGCCAUGGAGAGGCUCAGGUGUCAGAUGAAGGUGUCAAAGGAUAUCCCCUGAUGAAAUUGUUCAUGAGUCCCCUGAGAAACACCAAGAUGCUAGCUGAGUACUCCCACCAUGACAGCCACUCAGUUACCAAGAAUAUCGCUACAUGAGCCAUUGGGCUCUUCACACAGAGGCCUGGAAGCAGCGACCAGUCAGUAGGUGCUCUGCAGUACUCAACUGAUUUUUUUCCAUGCUCCGCAAUCUGAUGAUCACAAGAGAUCAGCAACUGCUGGACAAAGGGAAGCAGCAGAGUUUUCCAUAUAGACGGUCCACAACUAGGAGGGAUGCUUACUGUCAUUUAAUUGAGGAACACUUUUGAGAGAAAUCCUCCACCAUCUGACCCCAGAGCACUGCUGCCAUAUGAUGAACCUUCCUAGUGAUGAUCUUCAGGCUGUCCAUCAUCUGCAUUUAAUCAUUUCAAUCCCUUUUCCAUGAAGAAAACAAUAAAAUCAAUUUCACCACUA